GAAGGUAUAGCUCAAGUGGUAGAGCACAAGCUUAGCAUGCUUAAGGUCCUGGGUUCAAUCCCCAGUACCUCCU
rnacentral:tRNA from 1 species